CCCCGGCGAGGGGAGUGAAAAAGAACCUGAAACCGUGUACGUACAAGCAGUGGGAGCACAGGUUUACCUGUGUGACUGCGUACCUUUUGUAUAAUGGGUCAGCGACUUAUAUUCUGUAGCAAGGUUAACCGAAUAGGGGAGCCGGAGGGAAACCGAGUCUUAAUUGGGCGUUAAGUUGCAGGGUAUAGACCCGAAACCCGGUGAUCUAGCCAUGGGCAGGUUGAAGGUUGGGUAACACUAACUGGAGGACCGAACCGACUAAUGUUGAAAAAUUAGCGGAUGACCUGUGGCUGGGGGUGAAAGGCCAAUCAAACCGGGAGAUAGCUGGUUCUCCCCGAAAGCUAUUUAGGUAGCGCCUCGUGAAUUCAUCUCCGGGGGUAGAGCACUGUUUCGGCUAGGGGGCCAUCCCGGCUUACCAACCCGAUGCAAACUGCGAAUACCGGAGAAUGUUAUCACGGGAGACACACGGCGGGUGCUAACGUCCGUCGUGAAGAGGGAAACAACCCAGACCGCCAGCUAAGGUCCCAAAGUCAUGGUUAAGUGGGAAACGAUGUGGGAAGGCCCAGACAGCCAGGAUGUUGGCUUAGAAGCAGCCAUCAUUUAAAGAAAGCGUAAUAGCUCACUGGUCGAGUCGGCCUGCGCGGAAGAUGUAACGGGGCUAAACCAUGCACCGAAGCUGCGGCAGCGAACGUAUCACCCAAGACAACUUUACGGAGUUGACGAUUGACGGAGCGAAGCGACGUCAAAGCGUUCAUUAAAGUCGAGUUGGCUUAGGGAUACGUUCGUUGGGUAGGGGAGCGUUCUGUAAGCCUGUGAAGGUGUGUCGUGAGGCAUGCUGGAGGUAUCAGAAGUGCGAAUGCUGACAUAAGUAACGAUAAAGCGGGUGAAAAGCCCGCUCGCCGGAAGACCAAGGGUUCCUGUCCAACGUUAAUCGGGGCAGGGUGAGUCGACCCCUAAGGCGAGGCCGAAAGGCGUAGUCGAUGGGAAACGGGUUAAUAUUCCCGUACUUGGUGUUACUGCGAAGGGGGGACGGAGAAGGCUAUGUUGGCCGGGCGACGGUUGUCCCGGUUUAAGCGUGUAGGUGUGUGUUCCAGGUAAAUCCGGUUCACUUUAACACUGAGGCGUGACGACGAGGCACUACGGUGCUGAAGCAACAAAUGCCCUGCUUCCAGGAAAAGCCUCUAAGCAUCAGGUAACACGAAAUCGUACCCCAAACCGACACAGGUGGUCAGGUAGAGAAUACCAAGGCGCUUGAGAGAACUCGGGUGAAGGAACUAGGCAAAAUGGUGCCGUAACUUCGGGAGAAGGCACGCUGACACGUAGGUGAAGUGAUUUACUCAUGGAGCUGAAGUCAGUCGAAGAUACCAGCUGGCUGCAACUGUUUAUUAAAAACACAGCACUGUGCAAACACGAAAGUGGACGUAUACGGUGUGACGCCUGCCCGGUGCCGGAA
rnacentral:rRNA from 1 species